ACGCUGGCGGCAGGCUUAACACAUGCAAGUCGAACGGUAACAGGAAUUAGCUUGCUAAUUUGCUGACGAGUGGCGGACGGGUGAGUAAUGCUUGGGAAUCUGGCUUAUGGAGGGGGAUAACUACGGGAAACUGUAGCUAAUACCGCGUAAAAUCUUCGGAUUAAAGGGUGGGACUUUCGAGCCACCUGCCAUAAGAUGAGCCCAAGUGGGAUUAGGUAGUUGGUUAGGUAAAGGCUGACCAAGCCGACGAUCUCUAGCUGGUCUGAGAGGAUGACCAGCCACACUGGAACUGAGACACGGUCCAGACUCCUACGGGAGGCAGCAGUGGGGAAUAUUGCACAAUGGGGGGAACCCUGAUGCAGCCAUGCCGCGUGAAUGAAGAAGGCCUUCGGGUUGUAAAGUUCUUUCGGUGACGAGGAAGGUUGAUAGGUUAAUAGCCUAUCAAAUUGACGUUAAUCACAGAAGAAGCACCGGCUAACUCCGUGCUAGCAGCCGCGGUAAUACGGGGGGUGCGAGCGUUAAUCGGAAUAACUGGGCGUAAAGGGCACGCAGGCGGUGACUUAAGUGAGAUGUGAAAGCCCCGAGCUUAACUUGGGAAUUGCAUUUCAUACUGGGUCGCUAGAGUACUUUAGGGAGGGGUAGAAUUCCACGUGUAGCGGUGAAAUGCGUAGAGAUGUGGAGGAAUACCGAAGGCGAAGGCAGCCCCUUGGGAAUGUACUGACGCUCAUGUGCGAAAGCGUGGGGAGCAAACAGGAUUAGAUACCCUGGUAGUCCACGCUGUAAACGAUGUCGAUUUGGGGAUUGGGCUUUGAGCUUGGUGCCCGUAGCUAACGUGAUAAAUCGACCGCCUGGGGAGUACGGCCGCAAGGUUAAAACUCAAAUGAAUUGACGGGGGCCCGCACAAGCGGUG
rnacentral:rRNA from 1 species